GACGAACGCUGGCGGCGUGCUUAACACAUGCAAGUCGAACGAAGUGGCGAACGGGUGAGUAAUACGUGAGAAACCUGCCCUCCUUUUUGGGAUAAGCCUUGGAAACGGGGGCUAAUACGGAAUAAAGGGGGAUGGGCUCGCGGCCUAUCAGGUUGGUGGGGGGGUGAUGGACUACCAGGGCGGUAACGGGUAGCCGGCCUGGGAGGGUCACCUGGCACAUUGGAACCGGCAUACAGCCCAGACUCCUGCGGGAGGCGGCAGUGGGGGAUAAUGGACAAUGGGCGGAAGCCUGAUGCAGCGACGCCGCGAGAGGGAUGAAGGCUUUUGAGUUGUAAUCCUCUUUCGCGAUCGAACGGGUAGGUGGAGAAGAAGCGCCGGCUAACUACGUGCCAGCAGCCGCGGUAAUAC
rnacentral:rRNA from 1 species